GCAUGGGUUUGGAUUUAUGAUAGGCCCAACCCCCUGGGCCUCUCAUAGUACCCCAUGCCAGGGCAAACUGGCACCAAAUCACUGCCUGGCCUCUAUGCCCAUAGGCUGCUGGCAGUGGAGCAGGUUGCACAGUG